rnacentral:rRNA from 1 species
GGACGGGUGAGUAACACGUGGAUAACCUACCUAUAAGACUGGGAUAACUUCGGGAAACCGGAGCUAAUACCGGAUAAUAUUUUGAACCGCAUGGUUCAAAAGUGAAAGACGGUCUUGCUGUCACUUAUAGAUGGAUCCGCGCUGCAUUAGCUAGUUGGUAAGGUAACGGCUUACCAAGGCAACGAUGCAUAGCCGACCUGAGAGGGUGAUCGGCCACACUGGAACUGAGACACGGUCCAGACUCCUACGGGAGGCAGCAGUAGGGAAUCUUCCGCAAUGGGCGAAAGCCUGACGGAGCAACGCCGCGUGAGUGAUGAAGGUCUUCGGAUCGUAAAACUCUGUUAUUAGGGAAGAACAUAUGUGUAAGUAACUGUGCACAUCUUGACGGUACCUAAUCAGAAAGCCACGGCUAACUACGUGCCAGCAGCCGCGGUAAUACGUAGGUGGCAAGCGUUAUCCGGAAUUAUUGGGCGUAAAGCGCGCGUAGGCGGUUUUUUAAGUCUGAUGUGAAAGCCCACGGCUCAACCGUGGAGGGUCAUUGGAAACUGGAAAACUUGAGUGCAGAAGAGGAAAGUGGAAUUCCAUGUGUAGCGGUGAAAUGCGCAGAGAUAUGGAGGAACACCAGUGGCGAAGGCGACUUUCUGGUCUGUAACUGACGCUGAUGUGCGAAAGCGUGGGGAUCAAACAGGAUUAGAUACCCUGGUAGUCCACGCCGUAAACGAUGAGUGCUAAGUGUUAGGGGGUUUCCGCCCCUUAGUGCUGCAGCUAACGCAUUAAGCACUCCGCCUGGGGAGUACGACCGCAAGGUUGAAACUCAAAGGAAUUGACGGGGACCCGCACAAGCGGUGGAGCAUGUGGUUUAAUUCGAAGCAACGCGAAGAACCUUACCAAAUCUUGACAUCCUUUGACAACUCUAGAGAUAGAGCUUUCCCCUUCGGGGGACAAAGUGACAGGUGGUGCAUGGUUGUCGUCAGCUCGUGUCGUGAGAUGUUGGGUUAAGUCCCGCAACGAGCGCAACCCUUAAGCUUAGUUGCCAUCAUUAAGUUGGGCACUCUAAGUUGACUGCCGGUGACAAACCGGAGGAAGGGGGGGAUGACGUC